CCAGGAGUUGCGAAGUGGUCGUAGUUGUUCAUGUCUCAAUCUGGAUCAUCUUUGCUUUUUGCUUCUGCUUUGUGCUAUCCCUCUUCCCGUACCUCAGUUCUAUCUGGAACCAUGAUCUGUGACUGCCAUGGAAAAGUGUUGGGCAGGAGGAGGCCAGCUGGGUCUUUGAAGUUGACAAUGGAGCCAGGAAUGAAAGCUGCACUUAGGAUGAGAAUUGCUUUCCCUGGAGCCAAGUCAGCAAAUGCAGUCUGGUUGUCAGAGCUGAGAGGCUUCACCAAGUCAAGUAGGGGAGGACAUCUUCACUCUGCAACUUGCCCUACUGAAUGCAGAAAGUACUGUCUACUUAGAUAAAGCCUACACUAAAAGGGAAUUGAAUCUCUGCAAAUAAGUAUGUGGAUCUAAUUUCUACCUUCCAGAUUAAAAGUAUAAUUAAAA
rnacentral:lncRNA from 1 species